CCUACGGGUGGCAGCAGUGAGGCAUAUUGGUCAAUGGGCGCGAGCCUGAACCAGCCAAGUAGCGUGAAGGAUGACUGCCCUACGGGUUGUAAACUUCUUUUAUAAUGGAAUAAAGUGAGGCACGUGUGCCUUUUUGUAUGUACUUUAUGAAUAAGGAUCGGCUAACUCCGUGCCAGCAGCCGCGGUAUUCCGGAGGAUCCGCGCGUUAUCCGGAUUUAUUGGGUUUAAAGGGAGCGUAGAUGGGUUUUUAAGUCAGUUGUGAAAGUUUGCGGCUCAACCGUAAAAUUGCAAUUGAUACUGGCAGCCUUGAGUACAGUAGAGGUAGGCGGAAUUCGUGGUGUAGCGGUGAAAUGCGUAGAUAUCGCGAAGAACGCCGAUGGCGAAGGCAGCCUACUAAACUGCCACUGACAUUGAUGCUCGAAAGUGUGGGUAUCAAACAGGAUUAGAUACCCUUGUAGUC
rnacentral:rRNA from 1 species